UUGUAAAUUUGGAGGUGCAAUCC
rnacentral:piRNA from 1 species